CUAACCUCCCACCCGUGAAUACCUGACCAACGUUGCUUCGGCGGUGCGCCCCCCCCCCCCGGGGGUAGCCGCCGGAGACCACACCGAACCUCCUGUCUUUAGUGUUGUCUGAGCUUGAUAGCAAACCUAUUAAAACUUUCAACAAUGGAUCUCUUGGUUCCGGCAUCGAUGAAGAACGCAGCGAACUGCGAUAAGUAAUGUGAAUUGCAGAAUUCAGUGAAUCAUCGAGUCUUUGAACGCACAUUGCGCCCCCUGGCAUUCCGGGGGGCAUGCCUGUCCGAGCGUCAUUGCUGCCCUUCAAGCCCGGCUUGUGUGUUGGGUCGUCGUCCCCCCCGGGGGACGGGCCCGAAAGGCAGCGGCGGCACCGCGUCCGGUCCUCGAGCGUAUGGGGCUUUGUCACCCGCUCGAUUAGGGCCGGCCGGGCGCCAGCCGGCGUCUCCAACCUUCUAUUUUACCAGGUUG
rnacentral:misc_RNA from 1 species